rnacentral:rRNA from 1 species
UACGAAGGGGGCUAGCGUUGUUCGGAAUUACUGGGCGUAAAGGGCGCGUAGGCGGUACUUCAAGUCAGGCGUGAAAGCCCCGGGCUUAACCUGGGAAUGGCAUUUGGGACUGCAAGGCUUGAGUGCGGCAGAGGAGACUGGAAUUCCUGGUGUAGCAGUGAAAUGCGUAGAUAUCAGGAGGAAUACCGAUGGCGAAGGCAGGUCUCUGGGCUGACACUGACGCUCAUGCACGAAAGCGUGGGGAGCAAACAGG